UAUUAGGAGAUGGUAUAAAGUGUAUGUUGUAAUGUGUAGGAUAUAUACAAAGAUACAUACUUGAAAGUCCGUAGAGGAAACAAAUUUUUAUGCCUUCUGUUUGACUGUUUGUCAUAUAUUUGGUUUUAUUUCCCAGGGAUCAGUGAAUUUUAACUCUGGAGUCCUCUAUGCUAAGGAUGCUCAGCUUACAGAUGAUGAAAUGUUCAGUAAUGUAUUUGCUGGAGCUGUGCUUACCCAAGGUUUGGGUAAAACAAGCUUUGGGUUCCUUCUGUCUCACUGGGAGUUGCCCAAUUCAGUUGCAUCUGGUGAAAUUCACCCUGAGACCUUACAGAACUAGCUCCAACUACGUGAGAGCCAUUUGCAGUUCUCUCCAGACACCUGGAGAAUGGGCGACGUUUCUGAGGAUCCGGCGAGCGUGCUUCUGUCAAAACUCAGUCUGUGAAAUUUCUGGGGAAAACACUUCUGUGUCCUGAAGGGUUCAAACUCUGGUGAGGAUCCAGUUAUCAGGUGCUCACCUGGAUGGUUCCAGCUCCCAAAGGGAAAGGCUCUCGUAUCCUUGUCGUCGGGCUCGGUGCUGUCCAAGAAGAUACAGAGACUAAAAAAAUCAUAAGAAGCAAAAUAUGACUGCAGGGAAAAGAAGCUGGAGAGAACAGAAGACAUUGCUCCACUCCCCAGAGGAUUAUUGUGAGCAGAUGUGAGCUCUGCUGUCCCUUUGGACUGACAAAGACAGAGGUUUUGUCCCAAGUUGCUUUUGAACCUGUCCUGCACCCGUUACGAGUCCUCAGUCUCCUGCAAUUUUGUGGGUCAGUCACAUGUAAAACAGCACAGCUGGCUGGCAUGCUUUGCUCAUGAGGGGAGACAAGAGAAGAAUCCCUCUGCUCACACCAGACCUGCAGCUGCCAAACCUCACCAAAGCACCUGAGGAGCCCCCAGGGACUGAUGGUACAGAAGGGAGGUGAUGGAGGACAGCACAGCAGGCAGCCUGCCCUCCAUCUGGCUGUGAAGAAGGCAGGGCUGGGAACUGUCAGCAACAUCCCAGCAGGUCUGGCUGAUGGUGCCACCCUGAGGGCUUCCCCUGCCUUUGGGCAGUCCCAGCUGCUGCAGCUCACUUGACAGAGACUCAUUGUCUAUACUGUGCUUGGCUGCACUGGAGAUGAUGAAGCCGAGGACAGCAAUGGUUGCCUUCACAUCCCCUGACUGCAGAUGGGAAGGAGGGCGAGCUCUGUCACCUUGGGAAGGCCUCUGCAGAGUCACUGCUG